GUGCUCAUUUUGGCAGUACUUAUACUAACUUUGGAACAAUACAGAGAAGAUUAGCAUGGCAUACAUGCAAGGAUAACUUAUAAAUUCAUGAAGCUUUCCAUAUUUUU
rnacentral:snRNA from 1 species